GCUGGAUCUAGACUGGUCUGGGAUCACUUCUGCAGCAUCCUGUGAAUCAAGGAACCCUUCCAGAAUCAAUUGGCAAGGGUGCCUCGGUACAGAAUCCACAGCAGUGGGUCCUGGAAUACCCUGGGCUAAGAAGUGCAGAGAUGGGCCUGCUACAGAGACUAACCAGCAAGACAGCCAUUGACGGAUCUGCUUUACACAGAAGCAUGGAACCUGGGAAGUGGAUCAGCACUGAGAGACCACCUACUCCAACUCCUGCUUUCCAGAUGAAGAACUGGGUUCUAAAGAGGAAAAGUGUCUGCAUGUGUUCAUAGGCACGCUCGCCUGGACACAGUGUGAUUUCCUGUCAUUAUCCAGAAGUCCAGGGAGGGAACACGAGGACCAUUUGCUGCAGCUCUGGAACUACUGGUCACUCUGCAGAGACAAGGGUCCCUCCGAACAGUCGAGGGAGAGGCUCUGAACUCUACACCACCAGCAGUUCCCUUUUCCAGGCUGACCUUUGAGGAACAGACCCUGUCUCCCUCCUGGAGACAGGGAGCCCUCUCAGGAAGGGGCGUGCCUGUGAGGGCAGGGGGUGAGGAGGGGUUUGCCGUGUGGUGGGAGGAAGGCUUCAGCAGAAAUGCCAGAGGGGUGUUAGGAGAGGCAGAAAUCGCUUGGGGAUUUCUCCCUGUCCUAGAGGAAGAUAAACCGAGGCUUAGACUGAGAUCACGUUCAACAUCACCCAGGCAAUCCAGCGGUAUUACAGUGGCUUGAAGGAGAGAGUCCCAGCUUCCCAACCUGGACUCACCCUGCAGAUGGCCUCUCUGCCUCCCUCUACGCAUGCAGAUUGCUCCCCUGGACGUGACCCAGAUGCUCUGGAGAAAGCACAUGUCAGCACUUUGGGAGGACGGGCCUGGUCUCCUGAGAUGCCACUUGCUGGGCUCGCUGCGUUGGGCUGACUCUGGGCCCACGUGUUUUCCAAAGCCCAGUGACAGGCAUUUAGUUCCUCUUAGCACCCCCUGUGGAAGAACGCAGAAGCAUGCGUGACAUGGGUCUCAUAAGGCUCGAGGAGGGCUGGGGGCUGUUUGUGGCAGUGGGCAGCCGUCAGUAACCAUCCAGAAGGUGGGGCCAUCCCCAGUGUGCAUUCACGUCAGCUCCUGGAGUUCUGGAAAGGCUGGGGCUAGAGGAUGGGGGCUGAGCCUCUUCACUCCGGGAAGAUCCCUCUUCCUUUCUCACUGCAGGAUUGAGUAGAGCAGCCAAGGCAGUCCUGUGGAAGGGCGGGAGGCCUGGAGAGGGGUGGCACCUGACCGGGUAUUGAAUGGUGGUGAUGAGGGGAGGAGGAAGAGAUUGGGCGGUUGCCUCAGGAGAGCCAUAAAGCAUGAGAGCUGGAAGGGAUUCUAGAGAUCUCUCUCCCACAUUCCUCAUUCCACAGAGAGGAGGCUCUGAUUCCCAGAGAGGGAAAGUCCUUGCCUAUAGGUUCACUAACUCUCAGCAGCUUUGAGGCCUUUGUAUUUUCAGGCUGAACAAAUGCAUUCAUUACAUAUUACAGUGUAAGAAGUACUCCCCAAAUCAGAGUUCUGCGUUCCUGGGGACCCGGAAGACGAGUGUGUCUUAACUGGGUGCCCUGGCUCUGAGCUUCUUAGCAUGCAGCUACCUCACUGGAAGGCUUCGCUGGGGGAGAUCUGUUGAUAGGCUCACUUGUUGUCAGAGUUCCGCUCCUUACAGACUGUUGAGCCAACAUCUUCUGUUCCCCUCUGGCUGAUGGCCAGUGGCCUCCCUAAGUUCCCAGCCAUAUAUCACUCUCCACAUGGCGGCUCCCAACAUGGCAGUUGCUUCCAUCGGGGUGAGUGAAUGAGAGCAGGAGAGGUGAGCAAGACUGACACCAGAGUCUUCAACAAACUUGAGGUGCAUGUUAUCGCUUUUGCUGAGUCUUGCUCACUGAAGUCAGCCACAGUGCCUAGACCACACUCCUGAACAUCAGGGGCCAGAUUCCUUAGGACCAUCCCCAAAGCUGCCUACCACACCAAGGGCUUUCUCUAGCGUGGGCCCCUUCCUACACAAUAGAGCAGAAAGGGCUGGAAGCUUGCUCCAAAGAGGCGGGUGUUUGUUUUGUAGCUCUUCUGCUCUGUAUUUCACUGAGAGAAAACCCUCUUCUUCUCAAGGAAGGGAAACAAGAGUUAGUAGCAGAAAGGACACUUUCCUCCCCAGACAGAAGCAAUCAUUACACUGGGUAGUAAAUACCAUUCUCUUCUGAAAUAACAGUUUCUUUCUUUCUUGUCAGUCAGUUGCUUGGUGAGAAGAUAGAAUAAGGAAGGGGUUUGAUUUAGAAACUGAAAAUCUGAAUCUUAUUAUCAAAUGAAACCCCGGACAAGUUUAGUCAAAUGACAUGUACACCUUUCACAGUUAAUUCUUUCAUUAAGAAUCACAAAAUCAAUAAAAAUGACCCCAUUAGGAAGUCAAAUGAGGACCUUCUUUCUCAUGGUACACCCUACACUUUAUAAUAUGGUGGCCAUUGUGACAUGGCAGGAAACAGAAAUAACUGGUAGCAUUCUGGUGGAAGAGAAGUCAAACUUCUUUUUAUUUUCUGAUUGUAUUAUGAUACAUUGGUUUGCUGUCAUGACAAAAUACCAUGGAUUUUGUGAUUUAAGCAACAGAAAUUAAUUUUCUUGGACUGGGGAUAUGGCUCAGUGAUAGAGUACUUGCCUAGCAUGCGCAAGACCCUGAGUUCAAUCCCCAGCAUUGCAAAACA